UAGUGGCGAACGGGUGAGUAACACGUGGGCAAUCUGCCCUUCACUCUGGGACAAGCCCUGGAAACGGGGUCUAAUACCGGAUAACACUCCUGCCUGCAUGGGUGGGGGUUAAAAGCUCCGGCGGUGAAGGAUGAGCCCGCGGCCUAUCAGCUUGUUGGUGAGGUAGUGGCUCACCAAGGCGACGACGGGUAGCCGGCCUGAGAGGGCGACCGGCCACACUGGGACUGAGACACGGCCCAGACUCCUACGGGAGGCAGCAGUGGGGAAUAUUGCACAAUGGGCGAAAGCCUGAUGCAGCGACGCCGCGUGAGGGAUGACGGCCUUCGGGUUGUAAACCUCUUUCAGCAGGGAAGAAGCGAAAGUGACGGUACCUGCAGAAGAAGCGCCGGCUAACUACGUGCCAGCAGCCGCGGUAAUACGUAGGGCGCAAGCGUUGUCCGGAAUUAUUGGGCGUAAAGAGCUCGUAGGCGGCUUGUCACGUCGGUUGUGAAAG
rnacentral:rRNA from 1 species